AGAGUUUGAUCCUGGCUCAGGAUGAACGCUGGCGGCGUGCCUAAUACAUGCAAGUCGAACGCUUCACUUCGGUGAAGAGUGGCGAACGGGUGAGUAAUACAUAAGUAACCUGGCCUUUACAGGGGGAUAACUAUUGGAAACGAUAGCUAAGACCGCAUAGGUGUCAUAACCGCAUGGAGAUGACAUGAAAUAUGCUACGGCAUAGGUAGAGGAUGGACUUAUGGCGCAUUAGCUAGUUGGAGGGGUAACGGCCCACCAAGGCGACGAUGCGUAGCCGACCUGAGAGGGUGACCGGCCACACUGGGACUGAGACACGGCCCAGACUCCUACGGGAGGCAGCAGUAGGGAAUUUUCGGCAAUGGGGGAAACCCUGACCGAGCAACGCCGCGUGAAGGAAGAAGUAAUUCGUUAUGUAAACUUCUGUCAUAGAGGAAGAACGGUGGAUAUAGGGAAUGAUAUCCAAGUGACGGUACUCUAUAAGAAAGCCACGGCUAACUACGUGCCAGCAGCCGCGGUAAUACGUAGGUGGCGAGCGUUAUCCGGAAUUAUUGGGCGUAAAGAGGGAGCAGGCGGCACUAAGGGUCUGUGGUGAAAGAUCGAAGCUUAACUUCGGUAAGCCAUGGAAACCGUAGAGCUAGAGUGUGUGAGAGGAUCGUGGAAUUCCAUGUGUAGCGGUGAAAUGCGUAGAUAUAUGGAGGAACACCAGUGGCGAAGGCGACGAUCUGGCGCAUAACUGACGCUCAGUCCCGAAAGCGUGGGGAGCAAAUAGGAUUAGAUACCCUAGUAGUCCACGCCGUAAACGAUGAGUACUAAGUGUUGGGAGUCAAAUCUCAGUGCUGCAGUUAACGCAAUAAGUACUCCGCCUGAGUAGUACGUUCGCAAGAAUGAAACUCAAAGGAAUUGACGGGGGCCCGCACAAGCGGUGGAGCAUGUGGUUUAA
rnacentral:rRNA from 1 species